GCAUUGCUUGACUCAAUGUAAAUGCAAUCACUCCAUACACAUAGUUGAAGCAAAGCAAUGCUGUAAACUUCUCCAUUUUUUGCUUGGCUCCCAUUUCUGCAUGAAUACGAGUUACUACCUAAGCUAUCCAAUUGAACAUCAUUUCCUCAAGCAUCCUUAUCGCUGCAAACAAUAACUAUCUUGACAUAUACGUGGUGUAUCAGUAUAAGCCUAAAUGCCUCAGCACAAAGUGCAAUCAUUUUAUAAGCUUUGGUGUAAUUGCCUCAGCCAUCCGCCAAUCUUGGUUCUUCUCAAACGAUGAUAUUCCACCUUUGAAAAACCUUCUUGGGCUAAAAUCGCUUCAUU
rnacentral:lncRNA from 1 species